rnacentral:rRNA from 1 species
GCGAACGCUGGCGGCAGGCCUAACACAUGCAAGUCGAACGAACCUUUCGGGGUUAGUGGCGGACGGGUGAGUAACACGUGGGAACGUGCCUUUAGGUUCGGAAUAACUCAGGGAAACUUGUGCUAAUACCGAAUGUGCCCUUCGGGGGAAAGAUUUAUCGCCUUUAGAGCGGCCCGCGUCUGAUUAGCUAGUUGGUUGAGGUAAUGGCUCACCAAGGCGACGAUCAGUAGCUGGUCUGAGAGGAUGAUCAGCCACAUUGGGACUGAGACACGGCCCAAACUCCUACGGGAGGCAGCAGUGGGGAAUCUUGCGCAAUGGGCGAAAGCCUGACGCAGCCAUGCCGCGUGAAUGAUGAAGGUCUUAGGAUUGUAAAAUUCUUUCACCGGGGACGAUAAUGACGGUACCCGGAGAAGAAGCCCCGGCUAACUUCGUG